rnacentral:SRP_RNA from 1 species
GCCGGGCGUGGUGGCGUGCGCCUGUAGUCCUGGCUACUCGGGAGGCUGAGGCAGAAGAAUUGCUUGAACCUGGGAGGCGGAGGUUGCCGUGAACUUAGGUUGUGCCACUGCACUCCAGCCUGGGUGACAGAGCAAGACUCUGUCUCAA